CGCAUUAUUAGAUAUAACUCGAAAAGUCAGGUCAAAGAUAUUUAUUCUCAUAAGAAUUAACAAUUCACUUAUAUGAGAAAUACAUUAGAAAGAAUACAUUUUUAAAUAUCUACAAGUUUACAAUAAUUCUAGCCGAGCGUGUCGGUAAUAAACAAAGUUCAUUAUACAAUAUCGUUACAAAAACCAAAAAGUGGGUAGAAACGCAUUACAUCAAUGGUAAGACCGGUCACUAUGCAUUAAAAAAAAAAGCAACAAAAGCAGCAAGCGACAAAACACAAACAAAUACAUAGAUCUUCAAAUGUUAAACUAGAUGCGGCCAGGCGAAAUAUAUAUUUACUCGUAUGUGUGUG
rnacentral:misc_RNA from 1 species